UAAUCAAGUCGAAAGGAUUUAGGCUUAAUUUGGUAUUGAGACCUAUCAAACGCUAUUAGAUAAAAUGGACUUGAGGAAAAAGUAUAUAGGGAUAUAUUUCUGCGUUCUUUGAUGGGAUCGUAGAAAAUAUAUUGUAAACGACUCAUCGCGAUAUACGGAACGCAAUAUUACAUGCGGAAACAAACAAGGUAUUUUUCCAACGUAGUGUAUUAUUUAAUAAGAAGAAAACCAUUUUAAAGAUAAUUUGAAAUAAUAAUAUUGCAAAUUAAGUUUAAAUUUAUAAUUUGAAGUUAAUUUUCAAAAUAUAAACUUUACGUUUAAAUAAUUAAUAAAAAUUGGGUUUAUAACUAUAAUAAAAAUUAGAUCGAAAUUUAAAAUUUAAAUUUGAUUGA
rnacentral:lncRNA from 1 species